AGAUGCCGGUGGAAAUAUAAUAUCAAAUACAGGUGAUUUAGUCAAAGGAGUUGCUGAAACAGCUGGAGAUCUGACAAAUUCAUUAGUUGGUGGAGAAAAACCAGGAUUAAUACCAAGUAUAUUAGAUGCCAGUGGAAAUAUAAUAUCAAAUACAGGUGAUUUAGUCAAAGGAGUUGCUGAAACAGCUGGAGAUCUGACAAAUUCAUUAGUUGGUGGAGAAAAACCAGGAUUAAUACCAAGUAUAUUAGGUGGG